rnacentral:rRNA from 1 species
UGGGGAAGUAUUGCACAAUGGGCGCAAGCCUGAUGCAGCGACGCCGCGUGCGGGAUGGAGGCCUUCGGGUUGUAAACCGCUUUUGUUCAAGGGCAAGGCAGGCUUUCGGGCCUGUUGAGUGGAUUGUUCGAAUAAGCACCGGCUAACUACGUGCC